rnacentral:rRNA from 1 species
AUGGCCUCCAAGCAGAUGGUGCAUAUGAACCAAGGACAAGGGGAAAGAAGUUACGCUCGCAAUUCUGGUAUUCAGAAUGCUCAGCAGAAGAGGAUGAAGCUCCUGAUAGAAAGAACAAUCAUAGACUUAUGCAGCAGUAGCAGCAGCUUGUUACCUGACAAGAUGGUGAUCGCGGACUUGGGCUGCUCCUCUGGCCCAAACGCGCUGGCACUGGUAUCGGUCGCUGUCGAGGCGAUCCAUGGAUACUGUCUUCAGUUGCAGCAGCCACCACCGGAACUGUGUGUGUUCCUCAACGACCUGCCUGACAAUGACUUCAACACGGUGGUGAAGAGCCUUGUCACGAUCCGUCGAUGCAACGGGCCUGUUGUCGUGACGGGUAUUGCACCAGGGUCGUUUUACGAGAGACUCUUCACUAGUAGCUCCGUGCAUCUUGUGUGCUCGUCCAGUAGCCUGCACUGGCUGUCAAAGGCUCCUGAAGUUCUAACGAAGAACCAGAUCCCGGCUUACUACAUUGAUGAGCAUGCUAGGCGUGAGAAGCUCCCUAUGGUCCUUGGGGCAUAUGCACAACAGUUUAGGAAGGACUUCAGACAUUUCCUG